AGCGGUAACAGGUCCAGCUUGCUGGAUGCUGACGAGCGGCGGACGGGUGAGUAACGCAUAGGAAUCUACCCGGUAGUGGGGGAUAACCUGGGGAAACCCAGGCUAAUACCGCAUACGUCCUACGGGAGAAAGGGGGCUUCGGCUCCCGCUAUUGGAUGAGCCUAUGCCGGAUUAGCUGGUUGGUGAGGUAAUGGCUCACCAAGGCGACGAUCCGUAGCUGGUCUGAGAGGAUGAUCAGCCACAUCGGGACUGAGACACGGCCCGAACUCCUACGGGAGGCAGCAGUGGGGAAUAUUGGACAAUGGGGGCAACCCUGAUCCAGCCAUGCCGCGUGUGUGAAGAAGGCCCUCGGGUUGUAAAGCACUUUCAGCGAGGAAGAACGCCUGUCGGUUAAUACCCGGCAGGAAAGACAUCACUCGCAGAAGAAGCACCGGCUAACUCCGUGCCAGCAGCCGCGGUAAUACGGAGGGUGCAAGCGUUAAUCGGAAUUACUGGGCGUAAAGCGCGCGUAGGUGGCUUGAUAAGCCGGUUGUGAAAGCCCCGGGCUCAACCUGGGAACGGCAUCCGGAACUAUUAGGCUAGAGUGCAGGAGAGGAAGGUAGAAUUCCCGGUGUAGCGGUGAAAUGCGUAGAGAUCGGGAGGAAUACCAGUGGCGAAGGCGGCCUUCUGGACUGACACUGACACUGAGGUGCGAAAGCGUGGGUAGCAAACAGGAUUAGAUACCCUGGUAGUCCACGCCGUAAACGAUGUCGACCAGCCGUUGGGUGCCUAGCGCACUUUGUGGCGAAGUUAACGCGAUA
rnacentral:rRNA from 1 species